GGGGGAGUAGCUCAGUCUGGUUAGAGCGCUUGCCUGUCACGCAAGAGGUCGCGGGUUCGAGCCCCGUCUCUCCCG
rnacentral:tRNA from 1 species